UGGUCGGCGGACGCGGGCGGAGCGCGGCUCCGCGGAGCGCUUCCUGGGACGCCUGCGCAGUAGCGGACGCCCCCCCCCACCCCCCGCGCGCGGGCCCCCGCAGAGACUGGCGCUGCCCCGGGGCGCUCCGGAGGCUCCCAGUGCGCAGCUGCUGCGGGACGCCGCAGAGAGCGCCUGGGGCCGACCGCCGAGUGUGAGACGCGUACCCGGAUUGGAUGCCCGAGCCCGCGGUGAAUGGGACUCCCUUACCCAUUGGUUCAUUUAACGGUACCACUCGGAGACAGCCACUUGACGUUUCCACGUGUCACAGCUCUGACCUCAGCAACUGAAGUCAGAAAGAAGGCAAAGAUUGCAAGGCAGACAAAGCAAGGGUUGAGGCGGGUAGCAAACAGAAGCACAUUGUCAUGGCAAAUAUCUGCCUAGCGUGUAUGCAGAUCUAAGACCAUGGCCUAAAUCACACCAUACCAAGUGCUACUACCUCUGAAAUAUCAAACAUAAAGCUUUUUCCAGAAGGAACUGGCAUUUGCCCUAAGCACAUGAUACUGAUACUGCCUAGGAGGUAAUGUGGAUCCACCCAGAGGAAUUCUGGACGUCUUCAUUUGGAUUCGAUGUUCUAAAGUAUAUCUAUUUACCUGAGCAGAGGGGAAGUCAAGACUUCUGUUAAGCACCACAACUCCAGUGACUCUGCCUGGGGACUGGACAAGAAGCUGAAGCACUCAUCCUUUAUAUUUGUUUACUCAAGUUUUUCAAUGAAAGGCUUUGGCCAUAAAUUCAAAAAACGAA